UCCCUAUAGUAGAGAAUAGCCCGGCGAAAGUCGGAUUAAUGCUCUAUGUGUUCAUUGAUGGCAUCAGAGAUUGAACAAGAAUUUCGCUAUAGGAUGGGGGAUGCGUCUGAUUAGCUUGUUGGCGGGGUAACGGCCCACCAAGGCAACGAUCAGUAGGGGUUCUGAGAGGAAGGUCCCCCCACAUUGGUACUGAGACACGGACCAAACUCCUACGGGAGGCAGCAGUGAGGAAUAUUGGUCAAUGGGCGCAAGCCUGAACCAGCCAAGUAGCGUGCAGGACGACUGCCCUAUGGGUUGUAAACUGUCUUUUAUAGGGGAAUAAAGUGAGGUAUGUAUACCUUUUGUAUGUACCCUAUGAAUAAGGACCGGCUAAUUCCGUGCCAGCAGCGGC
rnacentral:rRNA from 1 species